UUAUAAAUCACUUAGAUUUUGAUUUCACAAAAAAGAAUGUUCCAAUGCAGCCACAUCAAUCAAGGAUUUGACAAGCCAUGCUAAAUAGAACAAUGUUUCCAUCGUUAAUAUCUCGUCCCGAAUGGAACCCAUCGUCGAUCACUUGAUUUCGAGCUCCGCCUCCGAUAUCAGCACCGCCGGCCGUUCUCUGUGCCUGAACAUCGGGACGCCGAGCUUGUAGGCCAUCGGCGCAGGUGCUUCCGCUUGCCAUCCGAGGAACGAGUAGCUUGGCACGACCGCCGGCGCCGGCGCCGGCGCCGCCGUCGGAGAGCUGGGGAGGAAGCCGGACACCAGCAGAAGGGCCACGAUGACGAGAGCCUUGGCCAUCCUUGCUGCGGGCACAGAGGGGCUUGGAGAAACGCACCAGGGGGAGAUGACCCCGGUUCUCAUUUAGAGGUCGCGGCCAUGACCUAUUAUUACCGUGAGGCAGCGCCAGUUGUGUGGCUGAGGACUCGGUCUCUGUCUCUGUGGCUGUUUCUGCUGUUGCCGUUACCUGAGUGCUUGACAUGACUGAGUGCUUGACAUUGCCGUUAAGCCAAUACGUCCUUAACACUUGCGAACUCGUCUGUUAUUAUUAUUAUAUAGGAAGACAUUUAUACGUAUGGGAUGUACUUUCACUGUCGAAUGUUCUCUUCUGGGAGGAGUCUUCGCCGUUCCCCGCCUGCUUCGAGGGUUCGGAGGAGGAGGAGGAGGAGGCGAGACGAGAGAAAGAGGGAGCGAGGGCGAAGGCGUUAGGGUUUCCAGUUACGGGGAUGUGGGCGAUGUCAGACGAGAAGCCACCAGCGGAGAUCUGCAAGGGCGUGAAUGGGUUCGACAAGGCCGUGCUCAGGGAGGACAAUCGAAGAUCGGCCGAGGUCUGAUCCGACUCUCCCUCUUGUUCCCUCGCUGGCUUGAGUACUUUUCGCUGUUUUUGUUUCCUCUUUGUUGUUUAUCAUGCUGGAGUUUGCAAUACUAAUUUUGUUCGAGAUCGUUGCCUGCGGCCUUCUUAAAAUGGGGAUGGAUAUGAUUCGUCGAUCUGAUACCGGAUUUUCCGAGGGACUAUGCCGAAUGCUUUGUAUCUUUGAGCAACUUCAUCCUUUUGGUGUCAAUUCCUGGGAUAUUGGAUACGGUGCCGUGCUUUAUGUGUUCAACCGGAAGUUGUAUUGUCGUCAAUGCUUUAUGGCAAACCAUUUUGUGUUGAUUUCUAUUGAGUUGGUCUAAAUAGAGACAAGAAAAGAGGUGCAGAAUAGUUCACUCUAGGAAUGGUUGAAUGGUUGAUCCAAUAUGGUGAAGUAGCAAAAGGAUUAAAAGAUGUAGAUUUGCUAGCUAUGUUUUUCAGGUCUCUAUACUUGGUCCACGCAGAAGCAUCUUCUAAUCCUGGUUAUCAUCUUUCAAUCAACCUGUCAUGCUAUAGUCUUCCAACUUGCUAUUUUCUCCAUUUCUGCUUAGUAGACAACUGAAAUAAGCUGCUCUGGAAAUGUUGUGUGGUAUAGUCUUACAUAUGCUAGAAUAUAGUUAAAUUUUAUCAAGGAUGCUAUUGUUCAUAAUGAUAAGACUAUCUGCUCUGGAAAUGUUGUGUGGUAGUCUUACAUAUGCUUGAAUAUGGUUAAAUUUUAUCAAGGACAUUAUGUUCAUAAUGGUAAGACUAUUCGUCUAACUUUUUGGGCAACUAAAACCUUUAAUUAAUUAUAGAUUAGGUGUUAUAAAUAGAAGUAGGGUUCUUCUAUCUUUUAGCUGUCUGUCUUCUUAUUCCAUCAAUGGAAUAGGGCUUAAGUCAUUAAGCCAUGUGUGUCAGCAAGCCUCAUGGAUUUGUGGAUCGAUGGUUGUGAUCUUAUUUAAGAGGCGUUUUGGUUCUAUUUCAAGUAUCAUUUCUACUUCAAGAAAGUUUGAAACUUUGCCCACCAUGUUGGCACAUUGAUCACAAGGCAAUUAUAGAUACUUAGAUGUUGCAAUGCUCAAUUAGUAUUAUGGAUGUUGUUGGUUGAGCAAGGAUCUUCUGUUGACAAUUGUUUGCAAUUCUCAAAUAGUACAUUGCAGCCGACUAACACAAACAUCCUAAUUUUGGAGUUGAACCUGUUCCGGUCGCUGCUUUGGUUGGAAUUGACGGGGACAAUAUACCAGGCAACACUUGUCACGGGGAAAUGAAAAAGAAGAAAAUAAUAGUAAGGGAUGGUUUUCAGGGAAAAGGGGUAAAAAGGAAACUAGAGUGGAACAUAAUUGUGACCUUUGGGUUGCUUGCCGCUGAAACCUUCUUUAAUCUCAACUAACAAGGCCUCAUUACCAUAGCAUGAUAGUGGAAUCUAUUACCAUCUUAGACUCAAGGAUGGUUGUACUUGGCUUUCCUCAUUUUCUUCUAAGCCAUUUUGAAGCCUCCAAAAGUUAUAACAUGGGGAAAACCCAAUAUGCUUCCUCAAGAAUGACAUUCUUCUUAUUGUAUUUGUUAUUCCUUUUUUUUUUCCUGUUGCUGGAUUUAUUUAUAAUCCUCACCUAAUUUAAGAAAAAUGCAGUUUGGUAGUCAUGGAAACUUCUAUCAGCAUGAAUUUGCUAGAAAUAGGCUUUGGAGUAUUGACAUUGAUCCUCCUUUUCCUAUAGUUAGCUCCACUAUUUUCACUGAUUUGAUCUUUAACUCCCAAGUGAGAAGAUAUCAAGAUAUAGCUUCAUAGGGACAAUCAGUCAAUGGACACCAACUUUUUAUUCUAUUUGAGCUGUAAGAAUGUAUGUCAAGUUUGUUUGCUUGAUUAUACUUUUAUCAUUCCAAUGACUUGGUAAAUUUUUUAUCUUUGAUGACUGUAGUUUUUUAAGCUCAUUGCACAGUGCUGCUACCUCUUUUUAUGCAUUUAUGAUUUUCACCUUAGAAUUUUUGCUGACAUAACACAUAUGAAAUAGCUGAUGAAAAACCAUCAUCCUUCACAUUUGCCUUACACACCCACUUUUCCGAUUCUAUUAUCAGGUAAAUAAUUUGAAUUAUCUUUGCUGUUUGAAAUUACAAUUGGUAUUUAAAGAUGAUUUAUCUGACAUUGAGAACAUCUUAUAUGUCUUGCAAAUUUGAUUGGCUGAGGAAUCUUAUUAGUCUUAGGUUAUGAAGGGUGAUUUUUUUAUUCGUUCUGGUGCCAAAAUCAUUUUGGGCCUCGACAUCAAAUUAAUGUUUCUAUGGAGUGACGGUAUUGGUGGUAUGAAAUCUGUGGGAGAAGAAAGCCAAAUCUGUGGCAGAAUUUGGAGACUGUGAAUAAACCAUUUGCUAUGUGGAGAUUACGGUUGUUGAAAGGAACAUCACUCUUGAAGUUUGGCAAGGAAAUAGAAAGGAACGUUGGAGCUAUCUGCUGUUUCUUCUUUAUGGGUGUGGCACCUGUGGUUGGAACUUGGAAACCUUACCGAUUUAAGCUGUAAUUGUAAUAUGCCUGCAUGGAUUGAGUCACAUAGUUACCCUCAUGACAGCACAAUGGAAGGAAAGAUCAAUGCGUUCCAUCCCAGAUUGCUGGGACCUUAUUAAUUGUUCCUGUUGUUGUCUUAGCUACUGCUUUUUACGUCUUCUCCUAUUGCCAUUUGUAAUAAUUAAGAUAUCAAAUCUUUUUGUAAACAUCGUUUGUAGCUAUUAUACAGUUUUAGCUUGACAUAAAUUAUUAGGA